rnacentral:rRNA from 1 species
GAUAAACGCUGGCGGCGUGCCUUAUGCAUGCAAGUCGAACGAGAUCAAGGCUUCGGCCUGAAGUCUAGUGGCGGACGGGUGAGUAACACGUACGUGACCUGUCCGGAAGUGGGGAAUAACCAGCCGAAAGGUUGGCUAAUACCGCAUACGGUUACUGCUUGGAAGCAGCAAACCAAAGUCGCAAGACGCUUCCGGAGGGGCGUGCGGCCGAUUAGCUAGUUGGUGUGGUAACGGCGCACCAAGGCUUUGAUCGGUAGCUGGUCUGAGAGGAUGGUCAGCCACACUGGGACUGAGACACGGCCCAGACUCCUACGGGAGGCAGCAGUGGGGAAUAUUGGACAAUGGGCGCAAGCCUGAUCCAGCGAUGCCGCGUGUGUGAAGAAGGCCUGCGGGUUGUAAAG